rnacentral:rRNA from 1 species
AUUGAACGCUGGCGGCAGGCCUAACACAUGCAAGUCGAGCGAGCGGCGGGCGGGUGAGUGAUGUCUGGGAAACUGCCUGAUGGAGGGGGAUAACUACUGGAAACGGUAGCUAAUACCGCAUACCAUCAGAUGUGCCCAGGUGGGAUUAGCGAGUGGGGGGGGUAACGGCUCACCUAGGCGACGAGCCCUAGCUGGUCUGAGAGGGUGAACAGCCACACUGUGACUGAGACACGGUCCAGACUCCUACGGGAGGCAGCAGUGGGGAAUAUUGCACAAUGGGCGCAAGCCUGAUGCAGCCAUGCCGCGUGUGUGAAGAAGGCCUUCGGGUUGUAAAGCACUUUCAGCGGGGAGGCGUUACCCGCAGAAGAAGCACCGGCUAACUCCGUGCCAGCAGCCGCGGUAAUUC